AUUGAACGCUGGCGGCAUGCUUUACACAUGCAAGUCGAACGGCAGCGAGGAGAAGCUUGCUUCUCUGUCGGCGAGUGGCGAACGGGUGAGUAUAGCAUCGGAACGUGCCAAGUAGUGGGGGAUAACCAAACGAAAGUUUGGCUAAUACCGCGUAAGCUCUAAGGAGGAAAGUAGGGGACCUAAAUAAGGCCUUACGCUAUUUGAUCGGCCGAUGUCGGAUUAGCUAGUUGGUGGGGUAAUGGCUCACCAAGGCAAUGAUCCGUAGCGGGUCUGAGAGGACGAUCCGCCACACUGGGACUGAGACACGGCCCAGACUCCUACGGGAGGCAGCAGUGGGGAAUCUUGGACAAUGGGGGAAACCCUGAUCCAGCCAUGCCGCGUGUAUGAAGAAGGCCUUAGGGUUGUAAAGUACUUUUGUUAGGGAAGAAAAGCUAGUUUUUAAUAAAAAUUAGUGAUGACGGUACCUAAAGAAUAAGCACCGGCUAACUACGUG
rnacentral:rRNA from 1 species